rnacentral:rRNA from 1 species
UGAGUUUGAUCAUGGCUCAGGACGAACGCUGGCGGGCGUGCCUAGGAUCACCGAUGCAAGUCGAGCGGACAGAUGGGAGCUUGCCUCCCUGAUGUUAGCGGCGGACGGGUGAGUAACACGUGGGUAACCUGCCUGUAGAGAACUUGGGGGAAUAACUACUCCGGGGAAAUACCGGGGGCUGAAUACCGGAUUGCUUGUUUGAAUCCGCAUGGUUCAAACAUAAAAGGUGGCCUUCGGCUACCACUUACAGAUGGACCCGCGAGCGCAUUAGCUAGUUGGUGAGGUAAUGGCUCACCAAGGCGACGAUGCGUAGCCGACCUGAGAGGGUGAUCGGCCACACUGGGACUGAGACACGGCCCAGACUCCUACGGGAGGCAGCAGUAGGGAAUCUUCCGCAAUGGACGAAAGUCUGACGGAGCAACGCCGCGUGAGUGAUGAAGGUUUUCGGAUCGCUAAAGCUCUGUUGUUAGGGAAGAACAAGUACCGUUCGAAUAGGGCGGUACCUUGACGGUACCUAACCAGAAAGCCCACAGGUUGAACUACGUGCCAGCAGCCGCGGUAAUACGUAGGUGGCAGAGCGGUUUGUCCGGAAUUAUUGUGGCGCGUUAAAGGGGCUCGCAGGCCGGUUUCUUAAAGUCUGAUGUGGAAAAGCCCCCCGGGCUCAACCGGGGAGGGUCAUUGGAAACUGGGGAACUUGAGUGCAGAAGAGGAGAGUGGAAUUUCCACGUGUAGCGGUGAAAUGCGUAGAGAUGUGGAGGAACACCAGUGGCGAAGGCGACUCUCUGGUCUGUUAACUGACGCUGAGGAGCGAAAGCGUGGGGAGCGAACAGGUAUUAAGAUACCCUGGUAGUUCCCACGCCCGUAAAACGAUGAGUGCUAAAGUGUUUAGGGGGUGUUUUCCGCCUCCUUAGUGCUUGCAGCUUAACCGCAUUUAAGCAACCUCCGCUCUGGGGGAAGUUACGUGUCUCGACAAAGAACUGAUAACUUCAAAGGGUAAUUUGAACGGGGGGCCCGGCACACACACGUCCGGUGGAAGCAGUGCUAGUGUUUUGAAUUCGAAGCAACGCGAAGAACCUUACCAGUGUCUUGACAUCCUCUGACAAUCCUAGAGAUAGGACGUCCCCUUCGGGGGCAGAGUGACAGGUGGUGCAUGGUUGUCGUCAGCUCCGUGUCGUGAGAUAGUUGGGUUAAGUCCCGCAACGAGCGCAACCCUUGAUCUUAGUUGCCAGCAUUCAGUUCCGGGCACUCUAAGGUGACUGCCGGUGACAAACCGGAGGAAGGUGGGGAUGACGUCAAAUCAUCAUGCCCCUUAUGACCUGGGCUACACACGUGCUACAAUGGACAGAACAAAGGGCAGCGAAACCGCGAGGUUAAGCCAAUCCCACAAAUCUGUUCUCAGUUCGGAUCGCAGUCUGCAACUCGACUGCGUGAAGCUGGAAUCGCUAGUAAUCGCGGAUCAGCAUGCCGCGGUGAAUACGUUCCCGGGCCUUGUACACACCGCCCGUCACACCACGAGAGUUUGUAACACCCGAAGUCGGUGAGGUAACCUUUUAGGAGCCAGCCGCCGAAGGUGUGCGACAUGCAACCUGAUUGAGGGUGAAGUCGUAACUAAGGUAGCCGAAA